rnacentral:rRNA from 1 species
UACGUAGGGUGCAAGCGUUGUCCGGAAUUAUUGGGCGUAAAGAGCUCGUAGGCGGUCUGUCGCGUCGGCUGUGAAAACCUGCAGCUCAACUGCAGGCUUGCAUUCGAUACGGGCAGGCUCGAGUUCGGUAGGGGGAGACUGGAAUUCCUGGUGUAGCGGUGAAAUGCGCAGAUAUCAGGAGGAACACCGGUGGCGAAGGCGGGUCUCUGGGCCACUACUGACGCUGAGAAGCGAAAGCAUGGGGGAGCAAACAGG